CUUAAACUCAUUUAAUGGUAUUGAUAAUUUUUUCAAUUAUGGUACUGUUACUACAACAUCUACUACAACACUGAGUAAAAUCCUUCAUACAUCCUCAGCUGUUGUAAAUUGGAUAUCUUAUAUUCAUCAUAUAUCCUCACUUAAUAGUAUUGACUUUUUUUCAAUUAUGAUAUUGUUGCUACAACAUUGAGUAGAAUCCUUUAUACGUCCUCAACUGUCGCAUGUUGGAUAUCUUAUAUCUAAAUGCAACUUAACAGUGACUAGUUGUUAUGCUAACAUUAGAUACAAUAUUAUAUAUUCUAGAUUCCAAUUGUCAUACAAGGUGAAUCCUUAUGUCUAUUUCUUCACUAAUCUUAGAUCAAGUAUGACCCUAUUUAAAUUGAAAUUAACUCAACUUGGGAAACUUAAUCUAAAACUAUGUAUUGUCUUAAUUUGUUCUAUUAAGUUAGACAUUUUUUAAGCUCCUUCUUAGUUAGUAUCCACUAAAUGGGCUUUCAACUGAAUAGGGAUUUGCAAUAAAUAAAAUCAAAAUAAAAUACUACAGCAGAUUCUACACAAUGCACAUAUAUAAGUCAAAUGACCAUUAAGCCUGUUUAACACCCAACUACAUCAAAUUUAGUUCAUGAUAUGCGAUAAAAUAGUAAAACUACUCGUUUUUGCCAUUAAAUACAUUCCCAUAGAGAGAUAAAAACAAGAAAAUAAAAAUAAGGAUUGAGUUCCGCUAGGUCUUUGCGAUCUCGCCUUCUUUUUCUUCUGGAAUCCCUUGCUGCAGCCCUCAACUCUCUCUUGUUCUCUUUUUUCUUUUGUUUUCUCAGUUAUUUUUCUUGAGUGACGACUCUCCCUUGUUUCUUUCGCGUGUGCUCUUUUUAUAUAUUGGAAUUAGGGCAACCAAAAGCAUGUGGCCACGUGUCUCGUUUUUUGGAAACCUUCGAUCACAUGUCUUUUUGUGCCACCUAUUGCUGCUUUGUCAGUUAACACACACAUAAUCUUGUAUACAGUUGCUCAUGGAUUACUGCAGCAAUGGCUACAACAUUUUCUCUUAUUCAGACUUGUUUUAGUUCAUCUGCGGACAAGUUUUUGUCAUCUCUGCAAUUAUGUUACCGUAGCGUUCCAGUAAUAAAGCUUGAGCUUUUUGGUCACCUACAAUCAUGUACAUAAUCAAAGCACAAAGUAAUCUAAAACACAAUUAAUUUAUUAAAACUAAACUUAAAUAGAUGUUCAUGCAAAAUGUAACUAAAAAUGAAAAAAAAACACAUCAUUUACUUUCUAAGUAAUAUUGAUUUAAGUCUAAAAAUACCAUGAUAACUCUAAUUUCAUAGAGUUAUCACACCCUCAAACUUAAACCAUUACUUUUCCUUAAAUAAUGACAACAAUAUUAACACUUCACUCACACAAUCUUGCAAUAAACAACUUAGCUCUGUCAUCUAGCUUGCUCGGAUUCAUCAACCCUCAGAUCUCAUUCUUAAACAUACAAAAUCACCAGCUGCAUUUUCAAUUCUAGACUUAGGUCUUAUUCUAUCCAGAGUGUGUGUGUGGCACUACAUAAGGGCAGAAAGGUCAAAACAAUAUUCGAAAAAAUGUCUGGUGAUAAAGGAGGCCUUAUCCUAAAAGAUUGGUUGAUUCUCUGACCCUCUAGCUUGAGCAUCAGAGUGUGGUCGCUGGUCCACCCCCAUCUCCAAUUCUAAUCUCUUUUUCAUUGUUUUUAAAGUCUAAGAUGACUUUGCAAGCUUUCUGAGACCAUAUUCGAACCUUUACUAUUUCCACCAUCCUCUCACUCUUCCUUCAUCUCCAAAAAGACAGCCUAUACACCCCGACUAAGUGAGGUACCCUACAUCCCAACAAAAAUAAAUUGAUUGUUCCUAGCUAGGUUUGUAGCUUCCACUCACACCUUAAAAUCUACUAAAAACACAUACCAUAAAUUCACUAUAAGUUGAGCUUUGAUACCAUAUCACACUUAAUCAAACCAUUGUAUUAAGAGGACAAGAAAAUUGACUUUUAUUUCAAAUCUUCCAAUGUACAAUGCUUUUAUAUUGCAUAGGUUCAAAAAGGAUACAUCUAUAGAAACCUAUAGGCCUAACUUAACCCAAAAGCUAGCUUAAAAGUUAAGAGUUAAGAGUUGUCCAAGUCUUAUGUACUUAACCUAAGUUGAAUACUUAGUCAAUGUGGGAUAUUCUUCCUGACACCACCCGUUGGGUGUAAGCCAAUCUUUUCCAUUGGUCUUUGUCAAAUGGUAAGCUAGUAUGGGCUUACUCGUGCAUAAGUUUGUCUUUGAUACCAUAUAAGAGCCUACAGGCCUAACUCAAAGGUUGAGGGUUAUCCAAGUUUCCUAUAUGUAGCCUAAGUUCAAUAAAGGAAGUUAAAAGCAAUCUUCAACAAUCAUGAGCUCCAAAAGAGCUAGAUGUCAUGUAAAUGCACUUUACUAAUCAUGGUACUUUGAGGUAUAAAAAAAAAAAAGAACUUGUGCAGUUAUACUAGACAAUUGUGCAUUGUAUUAUUUUUCCUUCAACUAAGUUUUGUCUCAUUAGGUUUUGUUGGCAAGGUUUUAAUAAGGCAGUACUAAGCAUAUCUAAAUUCAUACACAUAAAAAAAGUUGUAUGUAAUAAAAUAGUAAAUUCAAGGGGAACGUUAUAAAGAUCGAUGACUUUACAUUGUUAUUUGCGAAAACCCUAUUAUGCUUGAGUGAAAUAUCCAGAGCCUCAACUAUAAUAACUUGAAAAUAUAAAAAGAGAGAGGAUGUGAGUGUUUGUGUUUAUCCAAAGUAUAUUUAAUGCUCAAUAAAGGAUGUCUUUUUACCCUGUGGUUGAGAGGCCUUAAAGACGUAUAUUAAAUUUAGGACGUGUUAUGUUUAUUAGAUAAAAAUGAUUGUUGGGUCUAUCUUUAGUAGAUUAGAUUGUUAAUGGGUCACUGAAAUUCAUUACACACGAGUACAAUUUGGGUUUAAGAAUCGAAAAAUGUUUCACCAAAUAACCUACUAAAACAUUAUAUUAAUAAUUCAAUAUCUUAAUAUCUCAAAUUAUUAAGUUUUAAAGAAAAAAAUUGAUUUAAGUUUUACCCACCUCUACCUUUUUUAAUUAAAAAUUAAUAAAAAUUUUAUAAACUUUCUAUUCAUGUAAUUUUUUUACAAAUAUUAAAAUACUUAAGUAUUUACUAUAAAAACUUAGAGUCGGUAUUAUAUCUUCUAAACUUUAAGAAAAAUUUAUUCUCCAAACAUAAUGCUACCCAAGUAAUGUAAAUCUUCUUUCUUUUAUUAUUAUUAGUAUUUAAAAUUUUAACACUUUCUUUUAUUAUUAUUAGUAUUGGUGCCUAUAACUACUGGUAGUUCAUUUUUCCUCCUUUUUUAUUUUUUGUUUCCGUAAGUGUAUGCUAUACACAUUAUGCAAGUUUAUGUGGAAUCAAUUUGAAGUGCAAUAGGCGACAAGCUCACUGUUACUCAAGAAAUUGUAUAAACAAGUACAAAAUAAGUCACGUUAAACAUCAAUAAUUAUUUUCUUAAGAUUUUCUUUUGUUUAGUUUUAUAUUA
rnacentral:lncRNA from 1 species